ensembl:lncRNA
CGACGAGCACCUGAAGGCAGCAUCAUUUCACUGGAGAGAAAUCAACGCAAACGUCUAAUAAAGUUCAAGGUAGAAAGCUUAGCUCCACAUCUCCGUCUGAAAAUACGAUUAAACUGCAGUCUGUGACCUCUGACCUCCACCAUGACGUCCACCUCCAUCACCACUGUCGGUGAAGUGACCGUCGUCACUCAGGUCUUUCCUAAGGGUGAAGCCUUCGCCACCAAACAGGCCCCGCCUCCUUCCACCAAACAGGCCCCUCCUCCUGACCCUGCCUCCAAGAUGGACGACAUGACUGCUGCCUUCCUGCGGGGGGCGCCACACGUUCUCGGGGUGAUCCAGAUCUUCAUCGGUCUGCUGUGUGUCCUCUUCAGUCUGACUGCUGUCUUCUCCCCGCUCCUGAUCCUCCACGCUCCGCUCUGUCUCAGCGCCAUCUUUGUGAUCUCUGGCUCUCUGGCCGUGGCGGCAGGGAGACGGACCUCGGUGGGACUGGUGAGGGCGUGCCUGGUGUGGAACCUGCUCAGCGUGGUGGUUGGUCUGGUGGGCGUGGCCUAUCUCUGCUGGCUGCUCGCUGACGGCCCCCCCCCCUCUCAGCGCCUCUGUGACCCCGACGCCUUCUCCGGGUUCGAGCCCUCGUACCAACAGUUCCUGAACUGCAUCGGACAGAUGAGGAUCCUGGAUGUGAGUGUUUACGGACCUCUGGGCUCCCUGCUGGUUCUGCUCGUCCUGCAGGUCUGUGUCGUCGUCACCGUCUGCGUGUUCUCCUGCAGAGCGCUCGGACGCCGCCACAGCUCCGCCCCCAUCAUGGUGGAGGUCGGGGACCACGGUGCUCUGCUGUCGCGGUCCGGCAGUGACGUCUCUCUGCUGGGCAGCGAAGGAGAGGAAGCCUCCACGCUGCCUCACAAGUCCCCGUGAGAGGGAAAACUACAGUAGUACUACAGCAGAGAGUACUCGCAUACUGGGUCUCUGCCUGUCAUUAUAAUCUGUAAUCAUCUCUCCAGCUGUUUCUCUCUUUCAUCUGUUGUUAACAAUCGUUUUCAUGCUGCACUGCAUUCUGGGUCAUUUAGGGCUUCAUCUGCUCAGAGUUGGGAUUGAGUUUAAAUGUGGAACAGAUAAUACUUUAGUGUUUAUUUCAACAAGUGUAAUUGUAGGCUACGUGUCCACUGUCAGCGUCAAAUCCACACUUUCCCAUUCAACGGUCUAUGGGAGCAGCCGUGCAAUGCAUUCUGGGAGCAUUGAGUUUCCAGCUCGUUUUGCAUAAAGUUGAAUCCAGCCAACUUUAUGCAAAUGAGGAGCGGCCGGCUCGGCUCGCCACCUCUCCAAAGCUGACGGAAGUCUUUUAAACUGACCGUUGUCGAUCUGAAAUGAAGACAGAUUCAGCUGCUGUGUGGCCUAUUUCUCGCUCAAAAUGCCAUCACCAAACUCCACCAGACUCCAUGUAAAUAAUCACUACUUUUAUCAUCGUAAAACACACUUCAUUCAAAGUGGACAGAAACUAAAUAAAACAAUCAAAAGCCGUCUUGGUUCAUCUUUCCACUGUUCCAACAAUCACCACUCUGGUUUGGUUGAAAUAAACCCUUAAUUCACCCAUUUACAUGUGGAGAUAUGCUGGCUCUAUACACGCUAAAAGUCCUGAUUAUUUACAUGGAGUCUGGUGGAAAUAUGCUGGCUCUAUACACGCUAAAAGUACUGAUUAUUUACAUGGAGUCUGGUGGAAAUAUGCUGGCUCUAUACACGCUAAAAGUACUGAUUAUUUACAUGGAGUCUGGUGGAAAUUUGCUGGCUCUAUACACGCUAAAAGUCCUGAUUAUUUACAUGGAGUCUGGUGGAAAUAUGCUGGCUCUAUACACGCUAAAAGUACUGAUUAUUUACAUGGAGUCUGGUGGAAAUAUGCUGGCUCUAUACACGCUAAAAGUCCUGAUUAUUUACGUGGAGUCUGGUGGAAAUAUGCUGGCUCUAUACACGCUAAAAGUCCUGAUUAUUUACAUGGAGUCUGGUGGAAAUAUGCUGGCUCUAUACACGCUAAAAGUACUGAUUAUUUACAUGGAGUCUGGUGGAAAUUUGCUGGCUCUAUACACGCUAAAAGUCCUGAUUAUUUACAUGGAGUCUGGUGGAAAUAUGCUGGCUCUAUACACGCUAAAAGUACUGAUUAUUUACAUGGAGUCUGGUGGAGUUUGGUGAUGGUGAUUAUGGGGCUGUUCCAUGUUAAACUAAAAGGAUCUUACUCUUUAACUAAAAGGUCUAUCUCUGUAGGGAUCCUUUCAUAAUGUUGUCACACACUUAGAAUAAUAAUCUGAGUCUGUCAGCAGCAACAACAGAACUUUUAGUGGACGUUUAAGUGACAUUUUGCCAUCAUUUCAAAGACAAAUUCAGCAGGUUCAACAGAUUCAGCAACUGCACGGCCUAUUUCUCGCUCAAAAUCUUUUCAGAAACACGUUUCGGUGAACUAUUUUCCUAAAAUAUGAGAUCGUCAUGUUGGUCCGUUUAGAAAUCCUGGGGGGGCAGACAUCCCCACGUGUAGUGUUCGUCCAAUCAGCUGCGGCCAUCGCGAUUGCAGGAGGGCAGAGCCUGUUUUCUUUGCACGUCAUUGGUCAGUGAAGAGAAACUGAUGACUGCUAGUGGCGAGAACAGUGGCGUGCAAUGCUGAGAACAAGCGGGGCGAUCCCUUCCGUUUAAAUAGAAAUGCGUAAAUGGACACGUACCAUAAGUGUUAGUCAGCCAUCGACAGAGAGAAAGCAACACGUCAGGACAAACUGAGGUACAGCAGGAAUCAGAUUGUAAAAAUGGAACUUUUUGCCCAAAUAAGUGAAGCUGUAUUCAUGUUAUUUUAAUGCCGAAUUCAGCAGAAGACACUUAAAGUAAACACUGACUUGUUUACAGCUUUUUCCAUUUAAUGUAACGUUGGUUCCAAGCAAGGCGAAAAUUAAACGGACACAUUUCUGAAGGGAGUCUGGUGACGUUUACGCCAAUAACUGUGUGUGAAUCAGGAAGAGUAAGAAAUGACCUUCAUGUUAUUGUGCGUGCAGUUAUCUUUCAUAAAUGUAUUUUUUGUUAAAUCAGGUUUAAAAAAAAUAAAAUCCUCUUUCUUAUGAAGCUACGGUCAAAAAGUGUGAACUCGACUACAUUUGAUCGCCCAAUAUUGAGAUAAUUGUGGAGAUUUUUCUGUAACAUUACGUUUAUUUUCAAUGUAUUCCAACUUCUUUUCUAAAAAUGUUCUGACCUUUAUCCUCAAAAUAUUCCAACUUUUUACUCCAAAAUUUAGUUCUCAUAAUAUUCCAAUCUUUUUCUAAAAUUAUGACUUUUAUUCUUAAAUAUUCAAACUUUUUUUGUAAUAUUUUCCAACUUUUUUCUGAAAUUUUCUGACCUUUUUUUCUCAAAAUGUUCCAACAUUUUUCAAAUAUUUUCUGACUUUUAUUCUCAAAAUAAUACAUUUUUUUAAACGUAUUAUUCUGACCUUUUAUUCUCAAAAUAAUCCAAAUUUUUAAAUGUAAUAUUCUGACUUUUUUUUCUCAAAAUGUGCAGAUUUUUUUCAUAGUAAAAAGAGAGGCUGAAGUGCUGAAAUGAUUUCGUUAUGAUUUGUCCGUUGUGAUUCUUGGUGUUUCCGUGCUGCUGACAUUAUGAAUGACAUUAAAGCUUUUAAACAGGGAACUGAAACAGUCUGAUGGAGCAGAAACUGAGAGGAACUGAGUAUAUUAAUACUGCAAUAACACGCACAAUAUUUGGACUUGUGUGCAGUCGACAUUUCAGUAUAUCCACCUCAGAGUGAUAGAGAAAGACACUGAGUUAUUUUGAGAAUAAAAGUCAGAAAAUAUUUCAC